CAGGACGAACGCUGGCGGCGUGCCUAACACAUGCAAGUCGAGCGAAGCUUCAAAGUGGAUCCCUCGGGGUGAAACUUGGAUGUCUAGCGGCGGACGGGUGAGUAACGCGUGAGAAACCUGCCUUUCACAAAGGGAUAGCCUCGGGAAACUGGGAUUAAUACCUUAUGACACUUUAACCUCGCAUGAGGAAUAAGUCAAAGCGUAAAGCGGUGAAAGAUGGUCUCGCGUCCCAUUAGUUAGUUGGUGAGGUAACGGCUCACCAAGACUGCGAUGGGUAGCCGGCCUGAGAGGGUGAACGGCCACACUGGAACUGAGACACGGUCCAGACUCCUACGGGAGGCAGCAGUGGGGAAUAUUGCACAAUGGAGGAAACUCUGAUGCAGCGACGCCGCGUGAAUGAAGAAGGCUUUCGGGUCGUAAAGUUCUGUCCUAGGGGAAGAUAAUGACGGUACCCUAGGAGGAAGCCCCGGCUAACUACGUGCCAGCCGCUGC
rnacentral:rRNA from 1 species